CAAGUCACCAUCGCAAGCUACACAUACAACUUUGAAUUUUCUAAUAGCUACCAAACAAGGAUUCCAUACUCAAAGGAAAAAGUGUCUAAUAAGCUUAUGUCGGCUCAUAGGCCCAUCCCUUAAUCAAGAAAGGCAAGAGACUCUCUCCAGCAAGAUGUGAAAUACAUACCAAAUGCAAACUGCAGUGUGCAAACCUUCUGGCAGAGAUCACGUGGGCAGCAUUCAACAAAUAUCAAUUAUGGUUGAAGCUUGGUUCCUUGUCUCCACUGAGUAGGACAGGUCUCCUCGUUAUGUGAGCGAUCACCUACCUUCUCUCAGCCUAUAAGGAAGCAAUUUUAUUUGCUGUUCGGGAAAGAAAGACAGAUCAUUCUGUAAACAAGCCAAAAGAAGUCUGAUUCUCCAGUUCUCAAAUUAAGACUCUGUUUAUCAUUAGUUCUCAUAAGAAUAAACAAGUUGUAAUGUUUUGAGUGCA
rnacentral:lncRNA from 12 species